AGUCAAGUGUGCUCAUUACACGAAACUUCAGUUGGAAGAAAUCAAAGAGGAAUUGUGUCAAUAUUUUAUUGCGCAAAGAAUCAUAUAAGGGGCAGUUCAUGAUUGGUGUAGCAGGGCAUUGGUUGAAUUGAGAUAUGGCUAAGCUUGAAGUGAGGAUAAGCAAGAUGGAAUCAAAAGGUUUUAUUGAACAUGGCUUGGAAUGAUGAGAAUGAUGUUGGAACAUGUAGAAUAGGUGGGAUUAGUUUAGUUGUUUAGGGAUGAUUUUCUUAUUGUUAUAAUGUAAUGUGAAUUGGUUUAGUUGUUUUGGUCAUGUUAGAAAUAUGUGAAUCGGUGUAUAUAUAUUUUGGAUUAAUUACAGUGGUAUAUAAUGUAAUGGUAUAAUUUAUAAUG